AGCAUAAUAAGAAUACAGUAAAAGUAAGCAUCUACAGUAAAAUUGUUUACAACUUUUGCACUUCUUCAAAUCGAUAACAAAAAAAUACUAGGGGUAAAGGUAAAAGGUUAACGCAGAGAUCUCUAUAACGUAGAAAGUGUACACUUACACCUGCACACCCUUCCAAACACUAACAACAUAAAAUUUUGAUUCCAAGGGAAAAUCACAGUGGUGGUCGGCAACGCAUUGAAUCUGUGAAAACAGGUUCCCUGCCCUUAUUGCUUGUAAUAUAUAUAAUAGUCAUCCUUUCAUUUGGUCCCCAGUGAAUGGAAAGUAGGAAGCCAUAAAUUUUCAGCAUUAAAAUGUCACUUGCAAGAAGAGUGCUGUUUUAUGUAAAAUGGGUAACCAGAAAUAAUUUUGUUGAAACACAAAACAAACAGGGAAAUGAUAGGACUCAAAAAGGAAAAAGAAAUAACUGCAUCCAAACCACCAGCUGCGUCCGGCUAUCCCACCAUGCCCCUGCAAGAGAUAUAGGUGUGGGAAGGGGUAUGCAGAAUUGGGGUUAGGGAGAUUUUGUUUUAUAAUCCCCCUUCCUUUUCUAUUUUUGAUUUUCUAUUUCUAUUUCUCUUUCAGUUGAAAAUAAAGAUUAAAUCGUCCCUCCUGCAAAAAAAAUGUUGUCUUACAUUCAAAUGGAUGAACGCCAUCUACAACUACCAGAGACCAAGUUGCUACAAACUUGUAAAGUUGAGGAUUACCUCACAACAAUGCCCAUAGGUCGGCUUUCAUUUUAAAAAUAAUCAUGAAGAUGACAUUGACAAUAUCAUGACAGUAACUUACAAAUUUAUGCAAUGGACAGAGAAAAAUUUACGAGUUAAUCGUAUCUCCAACAUAAAAUUGGAUAAAAAAUAUUUAAAAGCAGCCAAGCACUAAUUCUGAAGAACUGGGCUACCAAGAAUAAAACUUUCAAGGGACUUUAAUCUGCAAUCUUUUGAGCUUAAGGCAGUGAGAUUAUCCAGCCGACCUGUCUCAAUUUAAAAAACUGCGCCACCGUCCAACCAAAACCAUCCUUCUAUCGUUCUCCUACCCUCCCAAACUUCGAAUUUCCACUCGACCAUCAAUAAGUAAACCAGCAGAACAAUCAAAUCCAAUACAAUUUAUAAUAUCGCUCAAUAUUUUAUAGAGCUAUACAAUGUCAGCAGGGGUGCCAGUAAUAUAAUGUGUAGAUGUUGUUCCCAGCCACUGUAGUAUAUAAGGUGAACCCAAUAGUUGAAGUUAGCUAAAUGAGCUAACUAGCCCAUUAAACAAAUUGUCUUAAGAUUUAUGGUGUGCUCGUAAAUCAUAUAGAAAAAAGGAUCAAACAGAACAACUUUCUGUAAUCAAACAACCAAUCUACUGAUUCAUAAAAAUUAAUAAUUCGUAUCAUACCCUUUAUCAUUUAGAGUGUGAAGCCAGGAAUUACGAGGCUUAUAUAACUUUCAAGAAUUUCUAGCAGAAAUUGUUAAGGGCAAAUCCCACAUCGGUUAGUUAAGUACGAAAAUAUUAACCAACUGCUACUACUCUUAAGACAUUGAUGUUUUAAGAUGGAACUUGUACGGUAGGUUCAACUCAAGUUGGUCAUUUCUGUAUCGAUAAGUAAUUAUAUCUUAAGAAGAAACCAAGAAAAAGCGAAAAGCGUUUUGAGUGCUGGAAGGAAAGAAAGGUAAAGGAAAAAGGCUCAAGUUUCCCAUGCAAUUAACAUAGAAAUGACUCACUAUUCAAGUCGUCAUCCCAUAAAGUGCCCACCUUUCUAAUAGCGACAACAAAAACACAGUAAACUAAGGAUUGGCUUCAUGAUUUGUUUCACCUCUCCUUUGGUUGCUAUGUCUAGAUUAAUUCCUUUAGGUUAUUAACUAUAACUAGAUACCAAAACUUCAAUUACAAUUCAAGCAUUCGUUAAUUCGAAGAGUUAAUAAUUAUAAAGCAAACAAAACAGCAAAUUAAAAAGAAUCAGAGACGGAAAGGGAGGGAAAAUGGAACCUGGGCGCCUUCUUUUUCAAUUGGUUCGAAUCUUCAACCAAGUCUGUUUCAUACAGAAUAUCAACUUAAACUGCAAUACUUUUCUCUGUACAUACACAGGACACGAUAAGAACACAAGAGGGUUUCCAGUUUAAUUGAACAGGAAAGUAAAUGAAAACGGCUAAAAAUAAAGAAGAAAUUACCAACAACCCAUGAAACACCAUUGAUUUUGCGUUUACGAAUUCAAGUAAUAAGCGUAAGCCCAUAGUUUCAAAUCACAUGACUUCAUGUCUCUUACGCAAGCGAGUUGCGGUGAUGAAAUCAUCACUGACAUCACAUGCUGCGUCAUCGAACAAUUAAACAUUAACAUUUAUGAAUAUUAUAGGUCGGCAGGGCAUUGGACAGUGAGGAUCUGACUGUUUUGGCAGAAUACUACGUUUUUGAUACGGAAGAGCAUCGGCACAGCCGAUGAGCUUUUUCUUUCCAACCCAGCUACACGCAGUCGGUGUACAAGCCCAGCUUUUUCUUUCCAGCCCAGAUCCGAUCAUUAAUUCGGUGUGGACCCCUCUCCUCACGUGACAAGAGUAUAUGACCUUUUAUUUUUUAUUUUUUUUUAUCUUUUUCUAACGAGCAAUUCAAACAUGUUACAGGAGCAGGCUCAUUGAUGGCAGAUAAUUGCCAAUCAAAAGCUACUAACUCAUUCCCCGUAAAUAAACCCAUAAAAUAUGACCAAACUUUUAUCAAGGUUCACAAAUUGUGACCACCCGAUUUUUGAAAAAAAUAAAAAUAAAAAUAAAAAUCCCUGAGUUUGUUAAUUUUGAAAAUAUAACUUCAAACCUUUGUAGUUAUGUAAUUAUUUUUCUUAUUUUGAUUAUUUUACAAUAAAUUUUAUAACACAAUGUGUUAUACUUCGUAAAAUUGUGUAACGUUCCACCACCCUUAUUUUUGUCGUCGUUGUUGUUACUAUCACUUAUAACAGUUAUUGACAUUUUACCACCUAUUUCAUACAAUUUCAACCGUCAGUCACCCCAACUUAUAAUAUUUAACGUUACAUCACCACUUGCAACAUUUAUCUAUCAUGUAGUUAAAUAAUCUAGAAUGAUGAGAUAUUAUAGCCUUUGAUUGAUCCUUAUUAUUUUUAAAAUACAUUUUCCCUCUUUUCUUUUCAAACACACAUUUAAUAAAAUAAUAUUACACGUAAACGCAAAACAUUUUUUUAUUUUCUACUCACACAUUCUACAUCAAUAUAUCAAUCUAAAAUGCAUUCUUGGCCAAAUAAUAAGGUUCAACAAAGAGCAUAAAAACCACGCGUUUUUUGGUUUAUGAUGAAAAAAUAAACUCCAAAAUUCCUAUACCAGAAGUAAAAUAUCAUCUGGUGACAAACAUAAUUAGAGCAAUCAGAGAAACAAAAGGAGGACAUCAGCUAAUAAAAUUCACUUCUUGUCACAAUCCGUGUGAUGCAGUGAGGCGAGCACGAAAAUAAAGCAGCAAUCUAGAGGCCAAAUAGCAAUUUUAGUUCUUGAAAAGUUCCAAACAGUGUUCCUGGUCAAGGUUCCGACUCCAGAACUUCUUGUAAUACUCCGCGUAUGUGAAAUCCCGAUAAAUGGAUGGAGAUCCAUCGUUUAUAAGAUCCUUUGGUGCAACGAUCAUUGCACUAUCACACGGGCAGAGGAAGGAAGCUACUGACAAUCUUGCUUUAUCUGAAUUUACUAUAGCUCGAUGCCAAACACUUCUAUAUUUUCCAUUACUCAGCGCCUGGAGAAAAUCAUUCUUAGUUAUCAUCCAAAUCCAUAUUAUAAGCAUUAAAGACCAUAUUAUAUGGUUUUCCAGUAGCCUCAUAUUCAAACGAUCGGAUGGGAUAUUAGAUAUCCUUGCACGUUUUUAGCUUCCAUGCACAUGGUAAAGUAUUGUUUCUCAUCGACACCACACAUUCUAUGAGAAUAAUCCAUCUUCUAAAGGAGACUGACAAAGAAAUAUUAUAAAAGAACCGAUUUUUUGUCGUUCAAUAGGUUAACAGAAUGUAUCAAGUGCUUUAGUUAUGACACAAAUUGCUGGUUUCAUGCACUCUCUUCAUGACCAAAUGCAUUCGUAUUCCAGCUAUAUUCUAUUUCUUACAUUACCACAAUGAAACUAUGCAAAGGUUUUUCAUCACUGGUCCCAAGCCCCCGGGAGAAAGGGGGAUAAAGGGGGAGACGGUUCCAGUAUGUUGAAGUCGCUGUAAAACAUUGUCAAAUCUAAUGACAUGAUUCCUAAUAAACAUUUCAUUGCAAUGACCCAGAAUAGCAUCUUCCACAAAAUUUAGCAAUGAACCAACGAAUGACAGAAAAUAAUUCAUACAGCCGAUCCCGAAAUUUUUGAGAAUUAAGGCUUAAUUUAUUGUUUGUAGUAUUAGAACAAUGCACAAGUUACUAUAUCAGUAAUUUAUUUUCCUAGCACCAAAGAUAAACCUUACCUGCAACUGAUCACCAAUAUUGAUGACAAAAGCAUCCGGGUGGGGUUUUAUUGCUAACCAUUUGCCAUCCAUCAGAACUUGAAGACCCGCAACUAGCAAGUCUUGAAGGAGAAUGGUUAGGGCAUUGGGAUCCGUAUGUGCUGGCAAUCCAUAAGUUAGUUCGGGUUCUGGGCAUGGUGGAUAGUAGUUGACGGCCAUGUGUUGCCCUUGUUCUCCCAACACAUUCUUGAGGCUCUCUUUUUCUAAUCCAAGGCUCUCUGCUAUUAACUCCUGCAAUCUGAACCCGAGAUGUCGAACUUCCAUACAAUAAUUGCUGGCAAUAUCCCUACAAAUUACAAGAAAUAUGUCAUUAUAUUCUUUUGCAUGCAACAAAGAUGGCUUCCUAAAGAUGAUACAGUUGGUGAUCGAGGAACGGAUCAAAGAAUUAUAGGAACAGCUUUUGUAGAUCUACAUCCUUGGAUUGCUUGUCGAUGCAUCACGCUAAAAGGAAAAAAGCUAACUUGUUUAUCAAAUAAAGCGUUAUUAAAACGAAUAGCCUUUAAAAUUUAUAUAGGGAACACGCAGAAGGCAUGAAUAUGAUUUGGGUACCUUUUUGUUAAAAGUUUUAUUUUCUUAUAGACUCCUAGGAGCUUAGUCAUAAUAGUACACGAUCUAGGCUGACCAUGUUAGGAGAGGGAAAGGAAAACCAAAACUAACAUGAUUAGUCGUACUCUCUAAGGAUUUGAUAGCUUUGAAUCUCCAGGCAACGAACAACAAAGCGGUGGAAAAGGAUUCAAGUAGCAGUUCCCAAAUUUCUGGGAAACGAGGCUUAGUAUGUUGUUGCAAAUUUAAUGGGUACCUUUUAUAUUGUUUAAACUCGAGGCUACAUAUUUAUUCCAUUUAAGAAGAUUCCUAGUUAUAAUCUCGUGGACUAUUGAUAUCGAGAUACAAGUAAUUUUGGAAAGGAAAUAGUUGCCUUGUUGCUUACUUAAAAGAAGAGGGAGUGGUAGGCCACUCGGGUACAUAUUUCUCUAAUGGAUAGCAGUGAAGCCUGAGAUAAUCUCUCCAAUUAUGAACAGUCUCCUUCUUCACAUUAAAACUUGUAGACAAUCUCACUGUCUUGGACGGGUCAUCAGAGUACAACUUCAUUUUCUCUUCCACCGGUAAACUAAAAAAUUCAUGACCCACUGCUAGCAUUUUCUGGAUUGUUUCCUUAGAUACUCCAUGAUUGAUCACCUGAAAACAAAUGUACAACAGCAAAUUACGAAAAAACUGUAGAGACUUUCAGAUAAGCUUAAACAGUAAAAAGUAAAUAUGUAAGUCUUAAAAAAAUAUUUUAUUGGUCAAAAUUGGAAAUAAAUAUUGCUACAUAUUUUGACAGCAAGUUAAGAGUUAAUUCAGAAAUGCCUUUCUAGCAUAAGAAAUAAGUAUGUCAUCCAAAUAUGUUUUGGCGAUAAAAAGUUACUCAAAAGUAACUCCUUUUAGCCUAGCCAAGCACAUAUAUGUUGCUCUAAGCAUCAACACACAUGAUGGUAGCUAAAGAAGAUGGUCGAACAUGGUCAAAUAACCUGAAAAAAGCCGUAUUCGCAACAUGCAUCGCCUAUUUGUUUGAUUAUUAGGCUCCUGUCUCCACAACCCAAGUCAAUCACAGGAACAUUCUCACAGUCGGCAACUUCAGAUAACCUCGGCCUUUCAGAUUGAGGACGGAUGUAACUUCUAGGGAGGCUUGAGUGUCGGAUUCCACUGGAGAUAACCUUCGCUUCCAUGGAUUCCAGUCUCUGAAUUACUGGAAAAAGGGAACAGACCAGUUAAGAUGCAACGUUGCUGUAAGGCUUUGGCAACUUCAACGAAGGUAUAAUAAGCUGCACGAUGCACCAAUGAUUUUCCACAUUCCUGGCUGCCUAAACAUUGUAAACAUGUCAUUUAUUUACCAAAAGACUGGAAUAUAAAUAUAUUAAAAGUAAGGGUAUACAGUAAAAUUCUUUAAAAUAUUUCUAGACAUUGUAAACAAAUUAAUCAUUUUCCAAACAGCGUAAUAAGAAUACAGUAAAAGUAAACAUCUCCAGUAAAAUUGCUUACAAAUUUUGCACUUCUUCAAAUCGAUAACAAAAAAAUGCUAGGGGUAAAGGUAAAAGGUUAACACAGAGAUCUCUAUAACGUAGAAAGUGUACACUUACACCUGCACACCCUUCCAAACACUAACAACAUAAAAUUUUGAUUCCAAGGGAAAAUCACAGUGGUGGUCCGCAACGCAUUGAAUCUGUGAAAACAGGUUCCCUGCCCUUAUUUCUUGUCAUAUAUAAUAUAAUAGUCAUCCUUUCGUUUGGUCCCCAGUGAAAGGAAAGUAGGAAGCCAUAAAUUUUCAGCAUUAAAUGUACUUUCAGCAUUAAAAUGCCACUUGCAAAAGUGCUGUUUUCAUGUAAAAUGGGUAAUCAGAAAUAAUUUUGUUGAAACAAGAAACAAAUAGGGAAAUGAUAGGAAUCAAAAAGGGAAAAGAAAUAAC
rnacentral:lncRNA from 1 species